rnacentral:pre_miRNA from 1 species
UUUUCGUUUUUCCGUGUCCAACGUUUGACAAUUCGUCUUAUUUAAAUUUUUUUUUGCGAUUAAUAUUUUUAUUAGUGCUAGAUGAUAAAAUAUGAAUAGUACUUUAUACGUGACUAAUUUUGUUUUGGUUUUUUACAAAAUUUUUAAAUAAGAUGAAUAGUUAAACGUUAGAUAUGAAAAAAC